UACAAAAACACAAUUUUUAUGGCCAAACCCAAAAUCAGAGAAAGCAAUUUCUCUUUCUCCAAAGCCCCAUCGUUCAAUCACAUCAUCUUCCCAAAAUACACAGCAACCAACUACCCUCUUCCCCUCUUCUCCUUCACCUCUCUUCCACCUUCACCAGAUCGGAAAAAGCUUAAACCCUAGCCUCCAUAGCCGCUUCAGCUCUGCCACCGCAGAGCCCCUGCGAGAUUCCCUUACCUUUUCAGCCAUUCCAACCCAUGAAUCCCUUCAAAAUAAAAAAAUCAGUCCCAAAUCAGUGAUACAACAAAAAAAUGGUUUUGAAUCCGUCAUUAUAGCCCGAGAAUCGUCCAAAUUCGAGAAGUGAUUUGUCCCUUUCAAUUUUUAAAUUCUAGUUUCAUCCUUUUCUGAUUUGCCUGUUGGAUUCUUGAAUUUUUUUGUUUCAGAUCCGGAAUUUCAAGUCCAGAUUUGCCUACAAAUACCCACGAGUUUAUCUAUUUCAAAAUUAAGUUUUUGAGGUGGGGGAGACCGAAAAACGAGUGAACACUUUUACAAGCAAGAGUUACAUGGUUCAUUACUAGUUUUUUUUCUUCUCUUUUAUUGAUCUCACUUGGGUCUGAGUUUGAAUUUGGGGAGUAACUCGAAUUCGUGGCCGAAAUCUUGACAUCGGAGCCCUUGGUUUCUGCCCAACACAAGAGAGGCUUGAGAAGGUGGACAAUCCUUCAGUGAAGACCUAACGAGAGGCUGAAUUCAAACACACCCAAAAUCCACAAGAAUCGUACGAACAUCUAUGGAGCGUAGCGAGUGAGGUCUUUCCCAAAACAAAUAGUGGGAUUUCCUCAACCUUCGGGAGCAUACUUGGAGUUUGAGAACAAAUUCCACCUCUGUCCCAAUCAGAGUAAUGCUCAUGUCCGGCAGUACAAAGUGUUCACGUGCCUCUCCUUCUUUCAAGAAUUUCAUAUCUUUGUAUUGACAUAUAUGCAUGUACUCGUACAUCUUAAGCUAACAUUCAGGUAGUACGCAUUGUUUUCUUUGUUAACAUUUGUUUGUGCGUGAAUUCUAAAUAAGAAUCAAGUAGGAUGGCUUGUUAUUUAUUCCUCUA